rnacentral:piRNA from 1 species
CAUAAUACAUUAAUGUAUAUCGUGCA